rnacentral:lncRNA from 1 species
AGUAGAAAAUAUUUGGUUAUAUAUAAGCUGUUAGAAAAUAUGACUCUAUUUAUCUUGUUGGACUGUAAUGCACCUUUGAAGAACAAUGGAAAUGGAGGACAUCCCCCCUUCAUGUGGGUGGCAUAAGCAACAGUAGUUGUACAUAAGUCCCCCAGACACUCGGAUGUGGGUGGCACAAGUGGUGGCAGCUGCAGAUAAAAUCCCAGAAGUGUGGUCUUAUACUGGUGCAUGGAUGGCACAAGCAGCAGUAGCUAUAGACAAAAAAUAAAUUUGGGUGACUUCAAACUAAGAGCACAAUUUAAUAUGAGUUUGAUGCAAUCAUAUUCAACCAUCAAAUAUAGCUGGACCUAAAUAGAAAUCAAAUGGAAAGACAAUAAAAAAAUUCCACUUAAACCAUCAAAUCACUAACCUUUGGUACACCUUCC